rnacentral:rRNA from 1 species
CUUAACACAUGCAAGUCGAGCGGUAAGGCCUUUCGGGGUACACGAGCGGCGAACGGGUGAGUAACACGUGGGUGAUCUGCCCUGCACUUCGGGAUAAGCCUGGGAAACUGGGUCUAAUACCGGAUAUGACCUCCUAUCGCAUGGUGGGUGGUGGAAAGAUUUAUCGGUGCAGGAUGGGCCCGCGGCCUAUCAGCUUGUUGGUGGGGUAAUGGCCUACCAAGGCGACGACGGGUAGCCGACCUGAGAGGGUGACCGGCCACACUGGGACUGAGACACGGCCCAGACUCCUACGGGAGGCAGCAGUGGGGAAUAUUGCACAAUGGGCGAAAGCCUGAUGCAGCGACGCCGCGUGAGGGAUGACGGCCUUCGGGUUGUAAACCUCUUUCAGCAGGGACGAAGCGCAAGUGACGGUACCUGCAGAAGAAGCACCG